UACGUAGGGUGCAAGCGUUGUCCGGAGUUACUGGGCGUAAAGCGCACGUAGGCGGAAUGUUAAGUCAGGGGUGAAAUCCCGGGGCUCAACCCCGGAACUGCCUUUGAUACUGGCAUUCUCGAGUCCGGAAGAGGUGAGUGGAAUUCCGAGUGUAGAGGUGAAAUUCGUAGAUAUUCGGAGGAACACCAGUGGCGAAGGCGGCUCACUGGUCCGGUACUGACGCUGAGGUGCGAAAGCGUGGGGAGCAAACAGG
rnacentral:rRNA from 1 species